CACGUAGGGGGCGAGCGUUGUCCGGAUUUAUUGGGCGUAAAGAGCUCGUAGGCGGCUCGGUAAGUCAGGUGUGAAAACUCUAGGCUCAACCUAGAGACGCCACCUGAUACUGCUGUGGCUAGAGUCCGGUAGGGAGCAUGGAAUUCCUGGUGAUAGCGGUGAAGUGCGCAGAUAUCAGGAGGAACACCAGUGGCGAAGGCGGUGCUCUGGGCCGGAACUGACGCUGGAGGAGCGAAAGCGUGGGAGCAAACAGG
rnacentral:rRNA from 1 species